rnacentral:rRNA from 1 species
UGGGGAAUUUUGGACAAUGGGGGAAACCCUGAUCCAGCCAUCCCGCGUGUGCGAUGAAGGCCUUCGGGUUGUAAAGCACUUUUGGCAGGAAAGAAACGUCAUGGGUUAAUACCCCGUGAAACUGACGGUACCUGCAGAAUAAGCACCGGCUAACUACGUGCCAGCAGCCGCGGUAAUACGUAGGGUGCAAGCGUUAAUCGGAAUUACUGGGCGUAAAGCGUGCGCAGGCGGUUCGGAAAGAAAGAUGUGAAAUCCCAGAGCUCAACUUUGGAACUGCAUUUUUAACUACCGGGCUAGAGUGUGUCAGAGGGUGGUGGAAUUCCGCGUGUAGCAGUGAAAUGCGUAGAUAUGCGGAGGAACACCGAUGGCGAAGGUAGCCUCCUGGGAUAACACUGACGCUCAUGCACGAAAGCGUGGGGAGCAAACAGG